rnacentral:rRNA from 1 species
UACGGAAGGCAGCGGUGGGGAAUAUUGCACAAUGGGCGCAAGCCUGAUGCAGCCAUGCCGCGUGUAUGAAGAAGGCCUUCGGGUUGUAAAGUACUUUCAGUCGUGAGGAAGGUGUUAAGGUUAAUAACCUUAGCAAUUGACGUUAGCGACAGAAGAAGCACCGGCUAACUCCGUGCCAGCAGCCGCGGUAAUACGGAGGGUGCGAGCGUUAAUCGGAAUUACUGGGCGUAAAGGGCACGCAGGCGGUUAAUUAAGUUGGAUGUGAAAUCCCCGGGCUUAACCUGGGAAUGGCAUUCAAGACUGGUUAGCUAGAGUCUUGUAGAGGGGGUAGAAUUCCGAUGUGUAGCGGUGAAAUGCGUAGAGAUGUGGAGGAAUACCGGUGGCGAAGGCGGCCCCUGGACAAAGACUGACGCUCAUGUGCGAAAGCGUGGGGAGCAAACAGGGAUUAGAUACC